rnacentral:snRNA from 1 species
UAGAACUUACAGCUCUUGUAGAAUUUACCUAGUAGGCCUUCCAGUCUCUACCAGAGGGAUGCCACU